UUGUAGGAAUAACUACUGGAGCUUCAAGCACAGGCUGCUAGGAAUGGGAAGAAAACGAAUUUGAGAGGCACUGUGCAAAAGACAACAGCCUUGUGAAGACAUAGACACACAGGAAAAAAUGCCAUGUGAAGACAGAAGUAGAAAUUGGAGUCACGCAUUUAUGACCCAAGCAAUGGCCUGGCUUGUCAGCUGUCACCAGAAGCUAGGUGGAAUGGAACAGAUUCUCGCUUAGUGCCUCCAUAAGGCACCAACUCUGCCAACACCUUGAUUU
rnacentral:lncRNA from 1 species